rnacentral:rRNA from 1 species
CCUACGGGGGGCAGCAGUCGGGAAUUUUGGGCAAUGGGCGAAAGCCUGACCCAGCAACGCCGCGUGAAGGAUGAAAUCCUUCGGGAUGUAAACUUCGCAAGAACGGGAAGAAUAAGUGGAAGUUAAUAUCUUCCAUGAUGACGGUACCGUUUGUAAGCUCCGGCUAACUCCGUGCCAGCAGCCGCGGUAAUACGGGGGGAGCAAGCGUUGUUCGGAUUUACUGGGCGUAAAGGGCGCGUAGGCGGCCACCGCAAGUCGACUGUGAAAUCUCCGGGCUUAACCCGGAAAGGUCAGCCGAUACUGCGGGGCUAGAGUGCAGAAGGGGCAACUGGAAUUCUCGGUGUAGCGGUGAAAUGCGUAGAUAUCGAGAGGAACACCUGCGGCGAAGGCGGGUUGCUGGGCUGACACUGACGCUGAGGCGCGAAAGCUAGGGGAGCGAA